rnacentral:rRNA from 1 species
GACGAACGCUGGCGGCGUGCUUAACACAUGCAAGUCGAGCGGUAAGGCCCUUUCGGGGGUACACGAGCGGCGAACGGGUGAGUAACACGUGGGUGACCUGCCCUCAGCUCUGGGAUAAGCCUGGGAAACCGGGUCUAAUACCGGAUAUGACUCCAUGACGCAUGUUGUGGGGCGGAAAGCCUUGUGCGGCUGAGGAUGGGCCCGCGGCCUAUCAGCUUGUUGGUGGGGUGAUGGCCUACCAAGGCGACGACGGGUAGCCGGCCUGAGAGGGCGACCGGCCACACUGGGACUGAGACACGGCCCAGACUCCUACGGGAGGCAGCAGUGGGGAAUCUUGCGCAAGUGGGCGAAAGCCUGACGCAGCGACGCCGCGUGAGGGAUGACGGCC